rnacentral:rRNA from 1 species
UACAUGUGGGGCAAGCGUCGUUCGGAAUUACUGGGCAUAAAGGGUGCGUAGGCGGCUUGUUAAGUCAGGGGUGAAAGUUUUCGGCCCAACCGGAAAAUUGCCUUUGAUACUGGCGAGCUCGAGUGCGUGAGGGGUAACCGGAACGAGUGGUGUAGCGGUGAAAUGCGUAGAUAUCACUCGGAAGGCCAAAGGCGAAGGCAGGUUACUGGUACGCAACUGACGCUGAGGCACGAAAGCGUGGGGAGCAGACAGG